rnacentral:tRNA from 1 species
AUUUAUAUAGUUUAAUAAAAAUUUUAAAUUGCAAAUUUAAAGAUAAUUUAAUUUAUAAAUU